GACGAACGCUGGCGGCGUGCUUAACACAUGCAAGUCGAACGGAAAGGCCCCCUUGUGGGGUACUCGAGUGGCGAACGGGUGAGUAACACGUGAGUAACCUACCCUUGACUUUGGGAUAACUUCAGGAAACUGGGGCUAAUACCGGAUAGGAGCUCCUGCUGCAUGGUGGGGGUUGGAAAGUUUCGGCGGUUGGGGAUGGACUCGCGGCUUAUCAGCUUGUUGGUGGGGUAGUGGCUCACCAAGGCUUUGACGGGUAGCCGGCCUGAGAGGGUGACCGGCCACAUUGGGACUGAGAUACGGCCCAGACUCCUACGGGAGGCAGCAGUGGGGAAUAUUGCACAAUGGGCGGAAGCCUGAGGCAGCAACGCCGCGUGCGGGAUGACGGCCUUCGGGUUGUAAACCGCUUUCGCCUGUGACGAAGCGUGAGUGACGGUAAUGGGUAAAGAAGCACCGGCUAACUACGUG
rnacentral:rRNA from 1 species